GACGAACGCUGGCGGCGUGCUUAACACAUGCAAGUCGAACGGAAAGGCCCUGCUUUUGUGGGGUGCUCGAGUGGCGAACGGGUGAGUAACACGUGAGUAACCUGCCCUUGACUUUGGGAUAAGUUCAGGAAACUGGGGCUAAUACCGGAUAGGAGCUCCUGCUGCAUGGUGGGGGUUGGAAAGUUUCGGCGGUUGGGGAUGGACUCGCGGCUUAUCAGCUUGUUGGUGGGGUAGUGGCAUACCAAGGCUUUGACGGGUAGCCGGCCUGAGAGGGUGACCGGCCACAUUGGGACUGAGAUACGGCCCAGACUCCUACGGGAGGCAGCAGUGGGGAAUAUUGCACAAUGGGCGGAAGCCUGAUGCAGCGACGCCGCGUGCGGGAUGACGGCCUUCGGGUUGUAAACCGCUUUCGCCUGUGACGAAGCGUGAGUGACGGUACUGAGAAAAGAAGCACCGGCUAACUACGUG
rnacentral:rRNA from 1 species